rnacentral:rRNA from 1 species
ACAUGGCUCAGGACGAACGCUGGCGGCGUGCCUAAUACAUGCAAGUGGAACGCAUGAUUGAUACCGGAGCUUGCUCCACCAUUAAUCAUGAGUCGCGAACGGGUGAGUAACGCGUAGGUAACCUGCCUGAUAGCGGGGGAUAACUAUUGGAAACGAUAGCUAAUACCKCAUAAGAGUCGUUAACACAUGUUAAUGAUUUAAAAGGAGCAAUUGCUUCACUAUCAGAUGGACCUGCGUUGUAUUAGCUAGUUGGUGAGGUAACGGCUCACCAAGGCUUCGAUACAUAGCCGACCUGAGAGGGUGAUCGGCCACACUGGGACUGAGACACGGCCCAGACUCCUACGGGAGGCAGCAGUAGGGAAUCUUCGGCAAUGGACGAAAGUCUGACCGAGCAACGCCGCGUGAGUGAAGAAGGUUUUCGGAUCGUAAAGCUCUGUUAUAAGCGAAGAACGGGAGUAAGAGUGGAAAG